UAAAUAAACAAAAGUUCUUACCAUUUUCUAAGAAGCUUUAUGUGACCAUCUCCCCAUGGAGUGUGAUCUCAUCUCCUCUGCUGUAUCACAUUGGCAUCCUUAGUGGAACCUCACGGGAUGCAAAAUUUUUCCAAGGGAUGUGCAUCUGCAGACAGUUUUAAGGGACUAUUGUCAAGAACUGUGAAGGAUCUGAGCUUACAAGUUAGCCUGCUUCAGUUUUAUGGAUGCUGGCAGAAGACA
rnacentral:lncRNA from 1 species